GUCUGGCAGUUUCCGAAUGCUUCCGGAGAGUCACCGAACAGAGACCCAGCCCCUCCCGAAUACCAUGCCCCUCUGCCCCCCCCCCCCCCCCCCCCCCCCCCCUCCUCGAGUCUACAACGACUCUCUUUUCGGCUCGACUCGGAGGAGGAACCCGGCGGCCGCCCGGCUGUGCGUUUGCAUUACCCAAGAUGGAGGUUUGCUUAUGGCGCUAGCAUCUAGGAACGAUUCUGUCAGUCCCUGUGUCUCUUGGCCUACGCUUUUCCGAGGAACGAACUGAUUUUUGUCUUCCACCGCAUUGGGAAUUUAGUUGGGAUCGCGGCUGUUGGUGGCCACCAUCAUGAGCUCUGGGGAAGGAGCUGAUGAGACGUCAAAGGACGCAGCCGAUAUAGCGGCGUUCUUUAAAUCUGGGAGAAAUUCCAUGAAUGGAGUCACUGCCCCCAUCAUGUAUCCCAUCACCCAACGCUCAGCGACGGUUCCCUCCAAAAAGAGCCCAAAGGAGACUUGUCCAGUCAGCUACCAGGUCAUUGAGGGUAACCCUGGCCUGUCUCAGUCAGUUAGUCUACCCUGUUAUUAGAGGUCUGGGUGGAUGGAGAGAACGACACAGGGGGAGAUGGAGAGAUUCAGCUGGCACACACACAUUCUGGGGAAAAUGGGAUGAUCAGAGGGAGAGAGAAGGAAUAGGGGAGAAAAGAGUUAGAAGAGAGCGAGAGCCAAGCAGGGAAAAGAGAGAGAGAGAGAGGUGGAUAGACAGAUGGAAAGAAAGACGGAUUUGAAAUCUAUUAUCAAUGCUGUUCACUAGCUACAGGGCAAUUUUUGAAAGUGUGUGUGUGUCAGCUGUACCCACAGUGAGGGCAUUGUUAGAGUGCCACAGCUGUGGCUGAUCAGCCUGGCCAUCAGCCAAUAAGAUCGCCCCCUCAGUCUCCGGAACCAAUAGGAUCACCCCUUCUGUUUUAGCGACCAAUCAAAUCUUCUCCGUGGGGCAACAAGACGAAGAUAGGGAGAGAGAGAAAGAAAAAGAGAGUGUGAGAGUGCAUUGGGUCUAGUAAAUAAUUACUAGCAACAAUCUGGUCGAUGAACAAGUAGAGAGAACGGUGGAGGGAGAGGGGGAAGGAGAAAUGUGUUCUGAAGCCCUGAGGAAACUGAACAUUAAGAGAGAGAGAGAGACCACGAGGGAGAGGGGGAAGGAAGGAGAAAUUAGUUCUGAUGCCCUGAGGAAACUGAACAUUGAGAGAGAGAGGGAGAAAGAGACCACGAGGGAGAGGGGGAAGGAGAAAUGUGUUCUGAAGCCCUGAGGAAACUGAACAUUAAGAGAGAGAAAGAGACCACGAGGGAGAGGGGGAAGGAAGGAGAAAUUAGUUCUGAUGCCCUGAGGAAACUGAACAUUAAGAGAGAGAGAGAGACCACGAGGGAGAGGGGGAAGGAAGGAGAAAUACAAUAGUGAGACAGGCAAUAGGGAUGCGAGGGUUGACUCAUA
rnacentral:lncRNA from 1 species